rnacentral:rRNA from 1 species
GACGAACGCUGGCGGCGUGCCUAACACAUGCAAGUCGAGCGAAGUUAUUCCUUCGGGAAUAACUUAGCGGCGGACGGGUGAGUAACACGUGGGUAACCUGCCUUAUAGAGGGGGAUAGCCUUCCGAAAGGAAGAUUAAUACCGCAUAACAUCAGAUUCUCGCAUGGGAAUUUGAUCAAAGGAGUAAUCCGCUAUAAGAUGGACCCGCGGCGCAUUAGCUAGUUGGUGAGGUAACGGCUCACCAAGGCGACGAUGCGUAGCCGACCUGAGAAGGUGAUCGGCCACAUUGGGACUGAGACACGGCCCAGACUCCUACGGGAGGCAGCAGUGGGGAAUAUUGCACAAUGGGGGAAACCCUGAUGCAGCAACGCCGCGUGAGUGAUGAAGGCCUUCGGGUUGUAAAGCUCUGUCUUUGGGGACGAUAAUGACGGUACCCAAGGAGGAAGCCACGGCUAACUACGUGCCAGCCGCCGCUGUAACAC